rnacentral:rRNA from 1 species
CAAACUAAAGAUGGCGACCGGCGCACGGGUGAGUAACACGUAUCCAACCUGCCGAUAACUCGGGGAUAGCCUUUCGAAAGAAAGAUUAAUACCCGAUGGCAUAAUAGAACCGCAUGGUUUGAUUAUUAAAGAAUUUCGGUUAUCGAUGGGGAUGCGUUCCAUUAGGCAGUUGGUGGGGUAACGGCCCACCAAACCUUCGAUGGAUAGGGGUUCUGAGAGGAAGGUCCCCCACAUUGGAACUGAGACACGGUCCAA